UGGCCACAUCACGUUGAAAUACCGGUUCCCGUACGAUCACCGAAGUUAAGCAACGUCGAGCCUGAUCAGUAUCUAGAUGGUGACCGUUUGCAAAUACCAGGUGUUAUAA